UCAUAAUGUUUCUUAUGAAUAUGUUUUGAGUAAUCUUAUUGUUAGGUUUAGGUUUACAUCGAUCAAUGUAAUGACAGUUGUGUCGUUCGACGUUUUGAAAGGUGUAUCGAUCGAUAUUCGUAUAGAACAUCCAUCGAUACUUUCUCAUGAUUAACAAACGAAAGUUAAAAUCUGAGAUCUAGACAUUAGAUAAUCUAAACAAAUGAAAGUUGAUAGAUUAUAACUUAAGUUUGAGUUCGAGAACAGUCAUUAUUUAUAAAUACCUGAUAAUCCAAUAAGUUUGCAUACUUAUCAUACCCAAGAUCAUACCUAAAUCUAGCGCCUUUCCUAAAUUGCUUAAAACC
rnacentral:lncRNA from 1 species